CCUGCCUCACACCCCUUGGUUUACUUUUUUGCCGCUCUUACUAUGCCUGCAUUGAAUAUCUUGACAACAUUAUGAUGUUCUCUCAUUCUGUAACUAUGUCCUUUGUAAGUUCAUUUGCUCUUUAUUGUUUCAAGUUUUCUCCAGUUUACCUUCUUGAAAUCAAUCUUGGUACUUGAUAAUUAGCAGGUGUUUAUCGUUCCUCUGAUGGAUUGUAUAACUAGGCGAUGGUCACUGCCUUCUAGCUGGUCACAUACCUUUCUACUAAUAUUCGUCAGUACAGAAAGCUAAGUCUGGUGUAGUUGUUGAGUGUCAGCGACAAGAAUAGAAGGGUUGGUGUAUCAGUG
rnacentral:lncRNA from 1 species